AGUGAAUCAUCGAAUCUUUGAACGCACAUUGCGCCCGCUAGUAUUCUAGCGGGCAUGCCUGUUCGAGCGUCAUUUCAACCCUCAAGCACUGCUUGGUGUUGGGGCCCUACAGCUUCUGUAGGCCCUGAAAACUAGUGGCGGGCUCGCUAUAACUCCGAGCGUAGUAGUAACAUCUCGCUUAGGACGUGAUGGCGGGAUCCGGCCGUUAAACCCCCCAAUUUUCUGAAGGUUGACCUCGGAUCAGGUAGGAAUACCCGCUGAACUUAA
rnacentral:misc_RNA from 1 species